GCUAAAAGCAAAACACAGUUUCACACUUUCACCUUCCUGUUCACGCAGUUAAAAUCAGCUGCAGAAGGAAGCUGGGUUUCAAACACAUUAUGGAUUUAUCAUGCUGGAUUCAUGAAGCUGAGCUUAAUCCUUUGUUGUCAGACGUGAGCAGAAAGCCGUGUGUAGGCGUCAACUACACUAAUCCACCAGCAUGUAGCGCAAUUCCCGUUGGGUGAAGGUUAAAGUAUGCGAGAGACCCUGACAGCAGUAAUGAACACUUUACAUUCUGGCAUUUGAAAGGUUCAGACAAAAAUACUCCCAUCAUCAUCUUGUUAUAUUUGUUUCUAUGAUUUUCUGCUUUCAUUAUGGUCUAGUUUACUCCUGUCUAACAUGGCCUGGUACUGAGUUGUGCAGUUUAGUCUUUUCUAGUGUGGUUUGGUUGUUGUUUAUAAUUUACUAUUUUUGUGACUAUAUGCAUCUAGUCUUGUUUUGUUGCCUUAUUUUCAUCUUCCCUCUUAUAAGUGUAGACUGAUAUAAUUUAUCUAGUCUGGUCAUCAGAGUCUUGUGACAUCUAAUCUUUUCUUCUGUUAUAGCCUUUUGAUAUAUUCAGUAACCUUUAAAGUCUAAUAUAAUCUGGUCUCUAUUAUGGUUUUCUUGACUAGUCUGGCAUUGUCUUUAAA